rnacentral:rRNA from 1 species
GAUGAACGCUGGCGGCGUGCCUAAUACAUGCAAGUCGAGCGAACAGAUGAGGAGCUUGCUCCUCUGACGUUAGCGGCGGACGGGUGAGUAACACGUGGAUAACCUACCUAUAAGACUGGGAUAACUUCGGGAAACCGGAGCUAAUACCGGAUAAUAUAUUGAACCGCAUGGUUCAAUAGUGAAAGACGGUUUUGCUGUCACUUAUAGAUGGAUCCGCGCCGCAUUAGCUAGUUGGUAAGGUAACGGCUUACCAAGGCAACGAUGCGUAGCCGACCUGAGAGGGGGAUCGGCCACACUGGAACUGAGACACGGUCCAGACUCCUACGGGAGGCAGCAGUAGGGAAUCUUCCGCAAUGGGCGAAAGCCUGACGGAGCAACGCCGCGUGAGUGAUGAAGGUCUUCGGAUCGUAAAACUCUGUUAUUAGGGAAGAACAAAUGUGGAAGUAACUAUGCACGUCUUGACGGUACCUAAUCAGAAAGCCACGGCUAACUACGUG